rnacentral:lncRNA from 1 species
AUGCCAUGCAACAUCUUCUACAACACCAUCAUAAACCUUAUAUAUUUGCAUAGCAUCCAAAGACUUAUUUUUGGGAGUUGCAUUGAUUCAACCUCUCCCUCCUGAAAUACCUUCUCAGAAACCCUAAUCCUCGUUUGGAAAAUGAGUUGCAAAUUAGGUUCACAUUAAUGGAUCGAUUGACGAACUGCAGAAGAUGAACUUGUUUAUCUCCUUGCGAAUUAGGAGUCCUUGGCGUCAGUCGUUCCUAAAUCCAGUUAUUAUAAAUUUCAAUCGGAAAAUAACAAUAAACAAUGUAAAAUCCUAAUAGGGGAUAAAAUAUUGAUCGACAGAUG